rnacentral:rRNA from 1 species
AUUGAACGCUGGCGGCAUGCCUUACACAUGCAAGUCGAACGGUAACAGGUCUUCGGAUGCUGACGAGUGGCGAACGGGUGAGUAAUACAUCGGAACGUGCCUAGUAGUGGGGGAUAACUACUCGAAAGAGUGGCUAAUACCGCAUGAGAUCUACGGAUGAAAGCAGGGGAUCGCAAGACCUUGUGCUACUAGAGCGGCCGAUGGCAGAUUAGGUAGUUGGUGGGAUAAAAGCUUACCAAGCCGACGAUCUGUAGCUGGUCUGAGAGGACGAUCAGCCACACUGGGGCUGAGACACGGCCCAGACGCCUACGGGAGGCAGCAGUGGGGAAUUUUGGACAAUGGGCGCAAGCCUGAUCCAGCAAUGCCGCGUGCAGGAUGAAGGCCUUCGGGUUGUAAACUGCUUUUGUACGGAACGAAAAGCCCCGGGUUAAUACCCUGGGGUCAUGACGGUACCGUAAGAAUAAGCACCGGCUAACUACGUGCCAGCCGCCGCAGUAA